AGGAGCAGCUGUGGCGGCGCGGUAGGAGCCCCACAGCGUCAGGGCGGGGAGGGCGCUUGGAGAUCCCCCGGGUCGGCCCCCUCCGCACCCCGAUCGACUGAGGCCCGGAGAGUUCAGGAACCGGCUCGGGAGACCUCAGCGCCCGAACUCGGAGUUUUCGGACUUUUCAGGCCUCUGCCAAGGGCUUGGACUCGCAGGUGAAAGGACGGGCUCAUCUCACUUUUUUGUCCUGAGAGGAGCUACCAGUGAAUCUGGUGCCAAGGCAAGAGAGGAAAAGUCGAUUUCUUAUCUUUCUGAGACUGGCGGUGGCCCUUGCCAAUUCAAGGUGGUCUCUCUGGGCUCCUGCACAGCAGGCUUUUCCGUGGAGGCUGGAAGGGUCUGGAGCUGACUCCAAGACAUGGUCUUUCUCUCCAUAGAUGGUGGAAAGCUGCACUUGAAGUCCAACUCUGUCCUGGGGGAAUAAUUAUGUUCCCUGUCUUGGGAGCCUUUCUUCAGGGAGCUUGAUGGUUCCAACCCACCCAGGAGCCUGGGACAUCUGUGCCCCUGGGCAAUCCCCUGCAGUUUCCUGAUUCCAAGAUGAGGGGGUAGAAUCCGAAGAUCUCCAAGGCCUUGAUGAGUGCUACCAGUCUGCAAAUUCCCAAGCCAAGUUCUUCAAUGAAUCAAAUUUCCUCCAGUAGCCAUUUCUACCAAAGGAGCAACUGUUUUUCCUUCCCACUGACAUGGCUAUGUAUUCGAACUGGAUAUAGGACACUGGGACCUGAAGUCUUGGAGAGGAUGUAAUCACUAAGUCAUCCCAAGGAAGAGUGGGAUGCCUACAAGAGAGGGAUGCCUACAAGAGAGGGAUGCCUAAAUUGGUUACCCCUAAGCCCACCGACUUUUAAGGCAUGUGUAAGUGAGUGGGAACCUGCAAAAAGACUGGAAGGAGCAGCCAGAGAGGUAGGAAGAAAACCAGGAGUGCCUGUUGUCACGGAAGCUGAGGGCAAGGAGGACAGUGGUUGGGAGAAUCUGAUGCAGGUAUAUCCCUCACACUUUCCAAGGGUCACCUUAUUAUUUUAAUCCUCCCAACAGAUUGGUGAAGUGGGAACCAUCAUACUCUAACUUCUCCUUUUUUUUUUUUUUUUUUUUUUUUUUUUGAGACGGAGUCUCCCUCUAUUGCCCAGGUUGGAGUGCAGUGGCGCAAUCUGGAUUCACUUCAACCUCUGCCUCCUGAGUUCAAGCGAUUCUCCUGCCUCAGCCUCCCGAGUAGCUGGGACUACAGGAGCGUGCCACCAUGCCCGGCUAGUUUUUUUGUAUUUUUAGUAGAGACGGGGUUUCACCAUAUUGGCCAGGCUGGUCUCAAACUCCUGACCUUGUGAUCCGCUCGCCUCGGCCUCCCAAAGUGUUGGGAUUACAGGCGUGAGCCACCGCGCCCAGCCACUUCUCCUUUUUUAAUUUAACAUUUUUUAUUUUGGAUGACGGGUAUUUAUUAUUUUUAUAUAAUUCUUUGAGUCUUUUUGUCCUGCAUACUUUCAAGGUUUAAAAAGGGGAAGGAGGAAAGCAGGGACUCUCAGGCCAGAUCCAAAGAGUGGCUCCCCUAUGGAACUGUCUUUGGGCACCCCAGACUUGAGCCUGAGCAAGUGACUAGCUCUGCUUCCUUCCCAAGGUUGGACUACAAUCUCAAAGUGUUGGUGUAGAAUGAGGCCCCACUGCAAGUGGCUGCCCCCAGGACCAAGCUUACCUGCCCUCCUCUUGCCUCAGUUCCUUACUUGUUGGUUGGGACAGCAACACCACCUUAAAGCCCUGGGGAGGACUGGCCUCAAAGGCUCAAAGAAGGUGCUGGGUGACUGCAGCUCCUGUCAGACCUCCCUGGGUUGUGUGUGCACCUGUGUGUAUGUAGUGUGAUGUAUGUGUAUAUGUGUGUGCCUAUGUGUGUAUGUGUGAUCACACUUCUAGGGAUCCUGGUGUAAGGUCAGGAUACCCUGUCCCACUCCAUCCCUCUCUAACAGCAGCUCCAAGGACCAUGGCCCCAGGAACUAGGCACAAGUGACAGGAGACACUUGCUAUGUCUAAACCCAGUGCACCCUCAGCCCGGCCUCGCCUUUUCAAGGACGGCUAGCACAGGCCAUCAUCCUGGCCCACGAUGAAGGUGAGCAUCAAACUCCAAUUUCUGAAGAGGAAACUGAAGACCAGAGAGGGGAGGUAAACAUCCCAAAGUCACCAGCAAGUCAGUGGGAGACACAACUUUAACCCUAGUUUUGACUGGCAGUCUGUGGGCAUCGAGGCCACCAUUCCAUGUACCUAAUGUGUGUCUGGCAGUGUUCCAGGCCUCACCUGCAUCAUUUCUAAUCCUCUCAACCAGAGGAUCAGAGAGGUGGCGUUUUUACCCCUAGUACACAGAGGAGGCGCUUGGGGUUCAGAGGCACGUGUGGAACUAGACCGACGCCACUCACCCCAGCAGGUGGCCAAGCGGGAUGGGAGCGCGGGUCUCCCCAUCCCCAGCGGUGACGGGCGGCGGCUCUUUCCUGAAGAAUGGGGCGGCGUCCGCAACGGGAACCGCUGGAGGCGCUCCCCGGGACCCUGGCCCGCCCUCGCCCCCGCGCAUGCCUGGCCGCUGAGGCGUGAGAGCCGCCGCCCGGGGCCUCCCCCCGCGCGCCUUGCACAACCGGCCCAGGUAAGUGCUGCGUCUCUGGGCAAUUAUCGCCCUCCCGCCGCCGGGGCUGGCCGCGCACAGGGCCCACGGCCAAGGCACUCGCAGCCACCCAAGGAGAGCUGCACGGUCUACGACGGCCGCCAGCGCGCGCGAUUUCACAAGGCCCGGGAGCGGGGACGGGGCGGGGCGGCGGGGGCGGUGACGUCACGCGCAGCCACGCCCCGCGGUUGCCCCGCCCCCGCGCUGGGCCGGGCCUGGGGAGGAAGCGAUGCGAGGCCACCUGUCCACCUGCGCCGCUUCGUCCUUCCUCCUCCUCCUCCCUGUCAGCUGUUUUUCUUUCUUCCCAUCUCCCAUCUCUUCCUUUUUAUCCCUCUCAUUCCUCCCUCUUUCCGUCCGUUUCCUUCUCCCUUCCCCAUCUCCUUCCUUUUAAUUUUCCUUUUCUCCUCCCUCCCGCCUUCCUUCUCUCUGCUUCCUUUCUCUUCCUCCCUCCCUCCUUCUCUUCCGCCUGCUUCCUUUCUUUCUCCUCUCUCUCCUUUCUUCCUUUCCUCCUCUCCUUUUUCUUUUUCUUUUAUUUUCUUUCUUU
rnacentral:lncRNA from 1 species